CCGACCUAUGAUGCCAGGUCUUUGGCUGGGCUGCUCCCUCCAGCGGAGUCUUCCUGUCACCACUGUCUGAGACCCAGCUGACCUUGCAGCCACACUAGAAACUGAAGACUCUCCGAGAAUCCUUCAGGCCUUCAGUGACAAACUGGGACAACUGAGGCACCCAACCUCUAGGACUGAGCAACUACUGAGUUGUCACCCACUCCGGUGUGCAGAUUGCUGGGGAAACUGAGGCACAGGAUCACUCAAGAUCAUAAAGGAGGAAAUAGAAAGCUGAGACCCAGAAGGUGAGCUUAUCUGUCUUAUAAACCUCUACUCAAACUGAGCCUCAUGUCAACAUUCAGCCUGAUCUCUACUUAGGCUGUAUCCACAAGUACCUGGAUGCCUGUCAUCUUUUUUUUUUUCUUUUUUUUUUUUUUUGGUACCUGCCAUGCUCGAGAUACUGAUCUACACGUGGGAAUCUCCACAGGGAACUGAGUAUAGCUAACUCAGGAGUUCAUGUGUUUAAAAGCAUGGGGGAGAGAUACAUACUAAUUUUUUGUUAAUCAGUUUGUUUCAUUGUAUCAGUCAGCAGCUAGUCCUGAGGACAGAAUAAGGCCUGGAGGAGAAAGUGAAGAGGGAUCCAAAGGAGCCCAGAGGCUGCAUUUGAAAGACCUAGGUCAGAGGAAAUGGCUUCUCAAUAAAGUGUAAGCCACAAACAGGAUGGCCUGAGUUUUAUCUCCAGAAAGCACUUUUUAAAAAGAAAGCCAGGCCAAGGGGUGUGCACUUGUGAUCCCAGAACUUGCGAAGCAAAA